CCCCCGCCUCAUACGACGGCCAUCGUGCAGUGUCCCACACGCCCGCACAAAAUCCAGCCCGCAAGCCCAAAAAACCAAGGCCAACUCAUUCGAUAUUCGGCCCAUGGACCACCAGUCAAACGAGCCAAACCCCACUAUCACACACCUAGCCAACAAACAAAACAGUUCGGCAACCCACGAACGAGGUCCAUCUACCAAAAAUCAAACCAUCGAACAAGCUCCAUCGACCCGCCAACGCACGUUGCCACCAAGGACAUAAAUGCCAGUUCUUCCUCGCGUACGAGCUCCAUCGACCCAGUUGUGUGAUCAUCACAACUACACCGCAACCUCGGCGUCCGAAACAUAACCUUCGCUCGAUGGCUGUUGCGAGGCGACGGCUGUUGCUGCAAAGGACGAAGAUCCUGUUGCGAGGCGAUGGCUGUUGCUACAAAGGAUGGAGAUCCACCUUUGUUAUAUUCAACGGUGCCCAUCAUGCCCUAGGUUUGCCAUCAUCAACUAUUUCAGCAAUGUAGUUACCUGCAUAUUACAGUAGUACUCAGAUUGCAUCUUUAACUUGAACUCCAACUACAUUGAAAAAGCAUCACAGGACAGAGGUAUCUCCAACCAGCUUUGUACCAACAGUUAAAUACCUUUCUGUCCACCGUAGUGUGUGAGUUGUGUCCCUGUUCGACUUGUGCUCUUCCUAUUGUUGCAGUGUGCUGGAAGGCUUCGGCUUUCUUAGAUUCUUACUACUUUCUGUAUAGAAGAGAAAAUGGUAUGGUAAAUAUAAUAUUUAUUGAACAAAUCUCUAAUCUGCACUAUUAGCCAAGAGCAAGAUGCCUAGCUUAAAAGACAAUAUCUCUAUUUUUUUUGUGCAACAUGCCCAGGUUAAAAGACAACAACAAUAUGCCCAGGUUAAAAGACAAUAUCUCUGUUUUUUGGCAGUAAUAAUAGCCUUGUCAGUACCCACAGCAGAACAUCAUACUUUGUUAGCUUUUUCUUGUCACUAUCUAAUCUGCACUAUUAGACACGAGCAAGAUGCCCAGGUUAAAAGACAAUAUCUCUGUUUUUUGGCGCACCAUGCCCAGGUUAAAAGACAACAACAAUAUGCCCAGGUUAAAAGACAAUAUCUCUGUUUUUAGCAGUAAUAAUAGCCUUGUCACUACCUACAGUAGAACAUCAUACUUUCUUAGAUUUUUCUUGUCACUAUCUACAUCUUAUUAUUGAUAAUAUAAUCAUAUAAAGACUGCAUGUUUAGUUUAGAACAUAUCUCUAGUAUUAAAGGGGGAUCGAACGUCGUGAUGGUUCGAC
rnacentral:lncRNA from 1 species